rnacentral:lncRNA from 1 species
UGACGAGUGAGUGAGCGAGCGAGCGAGCAAGCAGGCAAGUGUGCUCCAUUCGCAAGUGUAAUGUAGUAGUUCACCAUCUGCAUUGUUAGGCCUAGAUGAUGAUAGGUGUCAUGUGAAUGGGUCCUGGUGUUGUCUCCUGAUUUUUCUUUUUUUGUUUUUUGAUUUUCUCCCGUGUGUCAAUCAAGCCUUCUGAAGAGAAGCAUGGCAUGUGGUGUGGUCUGGUGGUGCACCAGUUGUGUGAUGGCCUACCAAAGGGUCCUUUUCCAUACUGUGGUAGUAGAUUCAUUCACCUGUCUGUCUUUGUUCGUGGCUAUUAUUGGAUGGGGGGCUCUCUUCUUUUUCUCUCCUGGCCGGCUUGGGUUCAUGCAUGGCAUGGCCCCAUGCAUGGGGAAGGGCAACAAUACAAUGGCUUUUGUUUCUCUUGGUCUUGGGAGGGACUUUCUCUCCUUUGGAUGCCACUAUCUAUGUAUGGCGCAUCGAAAGCAGCAAUGGGUUGUUUUGUCCCGUUGAGAACUCUGGAAUGGUGUGCAUUCUUCAUGAUGAUGCCGCCAAAACUAGCGAGCAACUGAGCAACUAAAUGUUUACAAUGGUAGUAUUCAUUGAUCAUCCUUGCAUGAAGAUAGUAGCAAGGCAGCAUGAGCUGACAGAGGUUGAAGGAAAUGAUCUUUUUUGGGGCUGUUCCAUGCAAGAAUAGAAUACACUGUUUGUGUUUUGAGGUAAAAGCACACCAGAUACCCUAACUUGCAUGGAAUGUGAUGAUUUAGUCCCAAACUUGCAAAAUGCAACUUCACCAUACUCCAACUUGCACCGAAUGUGAUGAUUUGGUCCCCGGCCUAUCACAGCGCGGCAAGUGGCAGCCAGGUGGCUGUGCCGGUCGUUGCCCGCACUUCCGCACAAAACACACUACCGUUUUAUCUAAAUCAACCCAUAGUACAUGGCACUUGAAUUAAUUCUGUCUCAACUCGCAUCUCUGGUAACCGAAACCGGCAGCGAAUCACCGGAGCUCAACUGAGAUACCAAAGUCACUCCUCUCUGAUUCCCAACUGCUUCACCUCGCCAAUCUCUCAUCGCCUAACACCCUACCGUUUUAUCUAAAUCAACCCGUAGUACAUGGCACUUGAAUUAAUUCUGUCUCAACUCGCAUCUCUGGUAACUGAAACCGGCAGCGAAUCACCGGAGCUCAACUGAGAUACCAAAGUCACUCCUCUCUGAUUCCCAACUGCUCCACCUCGCCAAUCUCUCAUCGCCUAACACCUUACCGUUUUAUCUAAAUCAACCCNNNNNNNNNNNNNNNNNNNNNNNNNNNNNNNNNNNNNNNNNNNNNNNNNNNNNNNNNNNNNNNNNNNNNNNNNNNNNNNNNNNNNNNNNNNNNNNNNNNNNNNNNNNNNNNNNNNNNNNNNNNNNNNNNNNNNNNNNNNNNNNNNNNNNNNNNNNNNNNNNNNNNNNNNNNNNNNNNNNNNNNNNNNNNNNNNNNNNNNNNNNNNNNNNNNNNNNNNNNNNNNNNNNNNNNNNNNNNNNNNNNNNNNNNNNNNNNNNNNNNNNNNNNNNNNNNNNNNNNNNNNNNNNNNNNNNNNNNNNNNNNNNNNNNNNNNNNNNNNNNNNNNNNNNNNNNNNNNNNNNNNNNNNNNNNNNNNNNNNNNNNNNNNNNNNNNNNNNNNNNNNNNNNNNNNNNNNNNNNNNNNNNNNNNNNNNNNNNNNNNNNNNNNNNNNNNNNNNNNNNNNNNNNNNNNNNNNNNNNNNNNNNNNNNNNNNNNNNNNNNNNNNNNNNNNNNNNNNNNNNNNNNNNNNNNNNNNNNNNNNNNNNNNNNNNNNNNNNNNNNNNNNNNNNNNNNNNNNNNNNNNNNNNNNNNNNNNCUCAACUGAGAUACCAAAGUCACUCCUCUCUGAUUCCCAACUGCUCCACUUUGCCAAUCUCUCAUCGCCUAACACCCUACCGUUUUAUCUAAAUCAACCCGUAGUACAUGGCACUUGAAUUAAUUCUGUCUCAACUCACAUCUCUGGUAACCGAAACCGUCAGCGAAUCACCGGAGCUCAACUGAGAUACCAAAGUCACUCCUCUCUGAUUCCCAACUGCUCCACCUCGCCAAUCUCUCAUCAUGGCGACGACGGCUGCAUCCCGGCCCAGCGGCCAUGUCCUUUUGAGCCCCAUUCCCAGCUACCACUCCGCCUCCCUCUCCCGCGUCAAGCUCUCCGCCGGCGGCUCACCGGUCAAGUCGGUCAGCGUCACGUCUCCCCCCUCCUCCCCCUCAGGCGGCGCCGCCAAGAUCCGUCGGUCCUGCAUGUGCUCCCCGAGGAACCACCCGGGCUCGUUCCGUUGCAGCCUGCACAAGGGGCGGAGGCCCCGACCGGCAGCACCAGGCCCGCCUCCCAGCCGCCCAUCAGCAGCGGCUGCUCUAGGCGCAUGCUAAACGUGCUAGCGCAGCGCAUGGGGAGCGGACACUGGGCACGUAGGGCGCUGGCUCCGUACCCCUCGGUGCAGCAACCGCGCCGACGGGUUCCGCGCCGGGGCCAGCCUGCUCUCCGACAUGUCCACGUCCAUGGCUGGCGGCUGCCUGCAGUGAAAAAACAACAGCGUCGACAUGCCAUAGCGAAGAUACUACUAGUACAUGCCCCCUCCCAAACACGUGAAACCUCACUUUCCCAUUACUAUUCGGGCUCGUCUCUCUCGCUCGUGCACACUGGAGAUGAAGGACGGGGUUUGAGGCGGCGGCGCGGUUGGAUCUCGAGAUGGCCGGCGGUUGGAUCUCAAGGAGGCAGGCGGCAUGGCGGCUAGAUCUCGAGGAGCCAGGCGGCUUGGGCUGAGGAGAUGCGACGCCGGUGAUUGAGGGUGGGGCGGCGGCCACGUGCAUGGGGCUGGUCCGCUGGUGGAUGCGUGAGACAAUGAAUCAAUAUUUCUCUCUUCAGUUUGCCAUCGUGUGUUUUGCACUUUGUGUAGUUUUCCUGCUACUGUACUUUCUGCUGUUGUAUGCACGGUUGUGGUGCCUGCUGUUGAGGCAUGCUUGAUGUGUGGUGCACGUGCAUUGAUGCUCAAUCAAAAAGAUGAUGAUUCUGACGAACCAAACACAUCCCAACUUGCAGGACGGGAGAAAUCCCCGAUUUCGACGAAAUUUCUGUAAAGUUUCAUGGCGGAGCGGCUCACCCCCCCCAGCUCUUCAACUUGCGCAAGAAGAUGAUGGACAGCUGGAUAGCUUCUUUGGUCGGUACUGUUUCUUCGCUAGAAAGCAGUCGCCGCGCGCUAUGUUUGUCAGUUUGGCUCUUGUCCCCAUUGUAGUAUUGCGUGCAGUGUUCAUUUUUUCUUGAUGGACGAGAAACAUCGGUGCACUUUUUCAGAUGAGCGAAUGGAGCGAUGAACACACAAUACAUAAUAAGGGCGCGGACAAAGGAAAACUCUGAAAUAAAUCAGUAGCAAGCUUCCGUUGGAACCCUGCCGUUCACAUGAUGCCAUGUACUGCAGUGUAGUGUAAAUAGUUAACUGAAUUGGUGUAGUGCAAAGGGGGUUUUGAGACAGAAUUAAUUCAAGUGCCAUGUACCGUGGGUUGAUUAGAUAAAACGGCAGAGUGUUUUCUGCAAAAGUGCAGGCGAUGACCGUUCCAGCCACUUGGCUGCCAUUUGUCACGCUGUGAUAGGCCGGGGAUCAAAUCGUCAAAUCCGGUGCAAGUUGGGGUAUGGUGAAGUUGCAUUUUACAAGUUUGGGACUAAAUCAUCACAUCUCAUGCAAGUUAGGGUACCUGAGGUGCUUUUACCUCUUGUGUUUUCUUGCACAUACCAGAUGCAGUAUUAUUAAGCUGGCCAGGAACACAUGUCUUGGAUACCAUAUUCAUGGUUUUGUGAACCGGAGAGGAAGAAGGAUGUGCAGUACAGUCCAUGGCUGCCUCCAUUGACCGCCUCAUUUGACUGUCAUCAGCAAGUAAAUAAUCUGAUCAGAGUCGCUGCCCCUGGAAGUUGGUCUAAAUUGUUUGUUUUCCAAGGCCAUCUCUGCUCGUCCCCCUCUUGCCUUUCUGCGCCCAUGCUACUUUGUUUGUCCUGUCCGAGCUUGGCCGCCCGCAAUCAAACGUGCAUGUCUGACUCUACUAUGCGUGUAAGAUGCUGGGAAUCAUGUGCUGCCGCCUCGGAUCCCCAGCCCGGUCCAGUCAAACCUAAACAUGUAUUGCAUUGCAUCCACUGCGGCGGUCCAUGGUACGUGCUACGGCGGAGGAGGAGUACGGGGAAUCGGGUGGCAGGGCAGCGGCACCGGCGAGCUGUCUGCGGCGAGGCUCGUUUGCUCGGUUCGGUGCGUGUGGCCUCGCAACAUUUUUUUGCUGAGCAGUUCGUUCAUUGAUCGGCCAUCCAACUUGUAGUAGUACUGAUCUACGGCCUCGUAACAAAGAUUGGUUUGGUUUGGUUUGGUAGGGGUACAUGUAUCAUGUAUGGUACUACGGGCGGACAGUAAUUCUGAGGCAUGUGUUGGUGGGUUCUCUUCUCUGUUGUGGCGACAGGAAAAGGCGGUGUGGAUUGGAAGGCGAUGGGCCGAUGGGGUCACUCGCGUCCAGAUCCAGUCAUUCAUUCAUGCUCAGAUUUCAGAUGAUGAUGCACUAGAGGAGGGGGAGGAGGCAUGGGCUGGAGGCGCUCACGUGCCCAGCGGUACGCUUGUACCGGUGACUAAUGUACCAUCGUUGUGCUCUACCCACCUCUGAAGAUGAUGCCUGGUGUGAGCACAGUACUAGCGUACGCCAUCUUGAAAGCUUCUAGCUUCUCUCGCGGCAUUCACACAUACAGUAUAAGUUUGUUGUGUCAUCAAUCGGUCAAAACCAUUUCAAAGUUAAAGCAUGAUUUGUUCUCAUUCUGAUUUUCUUCUUCUUCUUUGGAUCUGACCAUUUUGCUGUGGUCAUCGUGCUGUCAUGGUCAAUAACGGUAGGAACCUGGUCAACGUCCCUCAUUCAUCACAACACUCAUGGACAUAGACAAGUGGCUACCGACAGGGUCUGCAGUUGUAGACCCAUUAUAGCCUACCGCCAGGCUCAAUGGCGGUAGCCCCCUCAAGAGGUAAAAGAGGGAGGGGGGCACCCAUUCACCCCUAUCUUCCUCCUUUCCUCCACGAAAACAUAAGAGAUCUCCAUUUGUGCAUCGUUUUUGUGGAUCUUGGGGCCAAAUUGAGGAAGGUAAUCAUUUUACAUCCCUUCAAUUACCUUUUGUCAGAUCUUUUUAGUAUUUUUAUGCAUUUUUGGCACUAGGCGCAACCAAGUUCCUUAAUAUGAUUCAAUAUGAAUUUAGAGCAUCUACAACCGCGAUGGGAAAAUCCGCCCCCCCAAACGCCCGCGGACGCGUUCAGGCAUGUUGGCGGACACUGACCGGUCACGCCUCAAAUAAUGCAAUCCACAUCCGGAUACCUCAAAUAAGAAACCUCAAAUCCAUAUUAUUACAUGCCACAUAGCGAUCUUUAAGCGGAGCUCGUCCAGUCGCCGUGGCCAUGUCUGGCGGCUGGCUGCAGUCCCCAGAGUGUUGGUCCGGGCACCGACAAGGUAGAGUAGGGCAUGGGACUCAGGGUGCCGUCGUCUCCCAUGCCCUACUCUUCCUCGUCGGAGCCCAGAACCCGUUAGGUGCCGGUGGACGUUAGAUCGAUGAUGGAUUCGUCUUGGGACAAGCUGGCGACAUCCACCACGACGCGGUUGCGAUAUCCGGAGAAUGCGACUCCGCCUCGUCAAUGUCCACCAUCGCGAGCACUGCCGCCGCCUCACACGCCCGCUGCCCUGCACGGUGGGCAUGGCGCACAUUGUUUGCGUCGGAUGAUGCACACGGCGCGUCCAUGGCCUCGGCGCACCAACGUAGGGGUUGCACAUCUGCCACCCGUCCAGACGCCAGAUGGACCAAGCCACGGCUGUCCUAGCACCGGAUCCAUUGCCAUUUGGGCUUACGCAAUGGAUUCCCGAUGGAAUGAGUCCGAGCGCUGUGCACGGGCCUCCUCCCGGGAGCAGCGAAGUGCAAGCUGGAUGGCCAUCUCCUCUUCGGGGUCGCGUUGGAUGAGCUCAGGGUCGAUGGAUCUGGAGGUGAAGAUCUCGGAUCCCCUGCCCGUCAUGCCGGAGACAACCGAACAUCGCUAGGGAUGUGCUUGGGUGGCAGGGGGGAGUGGAGUGAAGUGGCUAGGGUUUGAUCCGGCGAGCGGAUGGGGAGGAAUAUAUGUGGGGGUGGGGUGGGCUAGCGUGCCCAGGUGCCCCCACAUCCGUCCCAUAUUUGGUUUGGAUAUGAGGGGUGCCGGUCAGCCCAGGCGUUUGAGGCCCGUUUGGGGCGCCCGUCCGGGUCGAAAUUUCGCGACCGAACAGUGAUCGGGCGGCUCGCCCGGGUGUAUGAGGUAGGUUUGAGGCACCCGACUAUAGAUGCUCUUAGAUUGGCACAUGUGUUUUUGUGUGGUUGUAUAUGUGUGGGUAUAUGGAUAUGUGGAUGAAUGUUGCCACCUAGUUCCUCAAUAUGUGUUUGGUAAGCAUAUGUAUGGUUAUGAUGUUGAAUGUUGCUAUGGUGAUGCUUGAAUCUAUGAAUAUGCUAAUGUUGAUGAUUAGGGUUAGGUUAUGGUGAUGCUUGUGGUUUUGUAGCAAGAACUAUGUUUUGGUCACUCACUAACAUUCUCGCUAAAUACUCAUGUAGGAUGGACAACAUUACCAGCAGUGAGAAAAGUUAUGAGGCGGCGGAAGAACGUCGGCGCCAACUCAUCGAGGUAGAGACAAACAGGUGGGUAAAGAGUUGUGACAAGGCGUAUGCAACUAUGAGGGAGUUUAAUCUGUAUUAGUUCCCUGAGUACCCUCCAAAGGUCAUCGCUUAAAAAGAAAAUAAUCACAUUGAGCUUGAGAUGAAGGAAGAUGAUUGUAGACACGAACUAAAAAUGCAAAUCACAUUUCCCGCUAGUAGGGAAGCAUUUGAUCCGAUGGACUUGAAAAGGCUAGGGCAGAUCAUUGGGUAGAAAAUCAAGGAAUGAGCGUCACCGAUACCUAGCCAUGCUGCUCCCUGGUAUUGUAUUCGCAAAAGAAUGAAUGUCGUCAGUUGCUGGCCAGGAUCCAAUGAUAUUCGAUUGGAGCCUAUGCCAUAUCGUGAUCAGGAAAUUGCAAACAAGAAAUUUUCUAGGGAUUAGAUGCAGCGAGACCCCCUUUUCGAUGCUUCGCGAUUAUUUGAACUCUCGUGAUGUUUUAUGUCAUUUGAACUCCAAGAUGUCGUGUGUCAUCUGAACUCCCUGAUUUCGUAUGUCAUUGGAACUCCAAGAUGCAUGUCAUUUGAACUAAGUGAUAUUGUAUAUUCCCUUUUGACCUCGAAAAUGUUGCAUCUCCUUUGAACUUAGCAAUCCUUGUGCAAUUUGGUUGAAAUAGUUUGUUUAUUUUGGGGGUUAAAUUCUGUUAGCUAUGAAAUUAGUUGAGAUGAAAAAUACAAAAUUGUAAUGGGAAGUUAAUUUGUGCAAGCAAUGUCACAAGCCUACUAAUGAAGCUAUGUACCUAGGAUAGGAUCAUGGACCUGUCCAGCAUACCCUCCCCAAGGACAUCUUUACAAAGAAUUAGAAGUAGUCGAAGAGAAAUCAUCAUCCACUCGACCACGGAGAUGCGCUCACUCGACCACCUUGAAGACACUCGACCACCAGAAGAUGAGGAACCCUCCACUCUGCAACGGUUAGGACUUAAACCAAGCAUUAUGAGCAUUUAUGACAUUUUGCUGUAGACGUUACCAGUAACGCCUUUCCUUUAUGAGCAUUGAACCCUGAGUAACGGAGGGGAGCUGGGGUCCUGGCACACUCUAUAUAAGCCACCCCCUCCUCUGGGACAAGGAUUCACACUUUUUUGUAAACUCUCACACACAUAUAAUCCAGUCGACCGCCUCAGGGCACCGAGACGUAGGGCUGUUACUUCCUCCGAGAAGGGCCUGAACUCGUAAAACUCGUGUGUACAACUACUCCAUAGCUAGGAUCUUGCCUCCUCAUACCUACCCCCAUUCUAUUGUCAGUAUUAGAUCCACGACAGUUGGCGCCCACCGUGGUGCAGGUGUCUUAGCGACUUAUUGGAGAAGUUGCAUUUUUUUCGAUCCCCAUCAUCAUGGUUCCAGGCGGAAGUUUGGCUGAGGGCCGCGAGAUCCGUCUCGGCGCGCUCGUGUUUGUCACCGACGACUCCGCUUGGCUUCAGGAGGCACCACUCGACGUCGACACGCUCCCCGCCCGCGGGGUGACGCACUUUCACGCGUGUGUCCGCGGUGUCCUCCUGCGGCAACCGUCGACCCAAUACCAGUCGACUCCAACGGCUUUCCCCCUCCCUGCGACCCGCCGGAGCAAGCGCACUGGCCGGUCGCCCGCCAGUCGGCCACCCCUCAAGUCGCGGCGCUCGAUCCCGACGAGUCUCUCUACGGCCUGUUCGAUCUGUCGACUGGCUCCGUAGAGACUGCAUCCGAGUGCGGCAGCAAUGACUCGGCAGCGGAAGUCCUGAUGGUCAAUGGACCACGCGGUCCUCCUGGCUUCGAUCGUGAAGACGGAGGUGACAGGAACGGCGAUCCGUCACGCGUUCACGAGGAGUACCGCCCCGAGCCUCUCUCCUCGCAGCAGAGAGAAGAACUUCAUCGCCGAAACAUGGAUGCCCUGCAUACUCCAAUAGUUGGAGAAAUGCCCGAGGCCCAGGCCUUGGAACAGGCUCGCUUGGCCAAUCUGGCUGAGCUCACUCAGCUGGAGAACCUACAGCGUGCACUCGACGAUCGCGCUCGUCAACGUGCUCCUGAGUCUAGCCGACGCCAACUUUUUCCACCUCCGGCUCAGGUAUACCGGACACCGAUCCAAAACCUAGCAGCUGCUGUCCGGAUAGCAGAGUCGAUUCAACCUUCCCAGUCAGAAGCUGGCCGAGGUCUGGCGCAGAUCAGGGCCUUGCUCCGGGCAGCAGGAGAGCAGAAUACGGUCGUGUCUCAGUCGCGGGAUAGGAUCCAUAGCAGAUCUGUGGUCGUAGAUACGGUCCAGUCGGCCCAUAGCCCGAGAUCGCCCCCGAGGCGUGAGGGACGUGGAGAGCGGCACGAUCAGUACAGAAACCAUGAGCAGUAUGAUCGUCGAGCCGAUCGAGAUGGUCGCCGUCGAGUGCCCACGCCUCCUCCAAGGAGUGGGUCGUACGUGCCGCGGCCACAUGAAGACAGGCGCCCUAACAGCGUCGGAAGAGGUAUUCCAGUCGACCCCAGAGAGCCAGGCUUUUAUGCGAGAUCUAUUCUCGUACAAGGCUUGGUCGACAGAAACAGAGCUCACCGAGAUGGCCAUGACAGAGGCCCGCAAACCAGCAAUAGGGUGCAUGUCUCUGGCCCAGAGUGCUUCAGCAGAGCUAUCAGAGCUGCAGUGAUUCCCCCCAACUUCAGGUUGGCGGCUGGAGUCAGUAAGUUCAACGGAGAGUCCAAGCCUGACACCUGGCUCAAAGACUACCGAUUGGCUGUCCAGAUUGGUGGCGGCAAUGAUGAGGUGGCCAUGAAACACCUUCCUCUGAUGUUGGAGGUCUCGGCUAGGGCGUGGCUGAAUCAGUUGGCACCUGGCAGCAUCUAUACUUGGGAAGAUCUCGCCCGAGUGUUUGUCAAAACGUUUGAGGGUACUUGCAAGCGGCCGGCAGGUUUGACAGAAUUACAGUGUUGCGUUCAGAAACCGAAUGAAACUUUGAGAGAUUAUAUCCAGAGGUGGAUCACCCUACACCACACGGUGGAAGAUGUGUCUGAUCAUCAGGCAAUUUGUGCUUUCAAGGAAGGCGUCAGGUACUGGGAGUUGAACCUGAAAUUCGGUCGGACAGGAAACAUGACUCUGAUCGGAUGAUGGAAAUCGCCACCAAGUGUGCCAAUGGUGAAGAGGAGGAGCGACUGUGGAGCGGCAAGCACAAAGCAGUCGCCCACGAAGCCGGAGAAGGAAACUCAGUCGGAAACAAAAACGCAAGACCGAACCAGCUGCUCCAGGUGAGGCCUUGGUUGUGGUUCAAGGAAAGUUCAAGGGGAAGCCCAAAGGGCCGUGGAACCCCAAGAAAGUAAAAGAUCAGGAUGGAAAUGACGUGUUGGAUCUGCCGUGCCAUAUCCAUACCAAAAAAGACGAAGAAGGUAAUUUCAUUUACCCAAAGCAUACCACUCGACAGUGUCGGCUCCUGAUCCAGCAGUUCCGGGAGAAACAACCCAAGGAAAAGGAGAAGGAGGCAGACAAGGCUGAGAGUGAAGGAGAAGAUGAUGAUGGUUAUCCUCAUGUGGAUUCCACUCUGAUGAUUUUUGCUGAUGUUGGAAACAAGAGUCGAUUGAAAGUCAUCAACAGAGAAGUGAACAUGGUCGCUCCGGCGACACCCAGUUACUUGAAAUGGUCACAAACUGCCAUUACAUUCGACCAGUCUGAUCAUCCAGCGCACAUCACCACCCCUGGGAGGCAAGCGCUGGUGGUCGACCCGGUGGUCGAAUGCACUCGACUGACAAAUGUCCUAAUGGACGGUGGCAGUGGCCUGAACAUUCUGUAUGCAAAAACGUUGAAAGGAAUGGGCAUUCCGAUGUCCAGACUCAGCGAAAGCCAUAUGAGUUUUCAUGGGGUCAUCCCGGGCAAGAAAGCUGCGUCCCUCGGUCAGAUUGUACUCGACGUGGUUUUCGGUGAUGCCAAAAAUUACCGCAAAGAAAAGUUGACGUUUGAAGUCAUGGAUUUUCAGAGUGCGUAUCAUGCAAUUCUUGGCAGGCCGGCUUAUGCACAAUUCAUGGCUCGACCUUGUUACGUGUACCUCAAACUGAAGAUGCCUGGUCCCAGAGGAGUGAUCACUAUCUCUGGUAAUCGAAAAAAGGCAGAAGAGUGUUUCCAGAAGGGCUCAAAGAUCGCCGAUGCCCAGAUGGCCAUGGCAGAAUUGCAAGAAUACCAGAAAAAUGCAGACCCGAGUGACUUGUUGCGAGCUAAGAAGCCAGCCACGGAUUCAACAUUCCAGUCGUCUAGCGAGACGAAGUCUGUUCACAUCCCCCCGACGGACCCCAACGCAGCUCUGACCCACAUUUCGACCACACUCGACUCCAAAUAGGAAGAAGCGCUCAUCCAGUUCCUCCGUGAGAAAUGGGACAUCUUUGCAUGGAAGCCUUCUGACAUGCCAGGUGUUCCUAGGGGACUGGCUGAGCAUCGUUUGCGAGUCGACCCGAAAGUGAAACCAGUCAAAGAGCAUCUUCGACAGUCCGCCGUCCAGAAAAGAAAAGCAAUCGGUAAAGAGGUGGCUCGGCUUUUGGCAGCUGAGUUUAUCCGAGAGAUUUACCACUCCGAGUGGUUAGCCAAUGUUGUCAUGGUCCCAAAGAAAGAUGACUCACUCCGCAUGUGCAUCGAUUUCAAGCAUAUCAAUCGGGCCUGCCCGAAAGAUCACUUCCCUCUCCCUCGCAUCGAUCAGAUAGUCGACUCGACUGCUGGGUGCGAGCGUUUGUCCUUUUUGGAUGCCUACUCCGGGUACCACCAGAUCCGUCUGUAUGGACCCGACGAAAUAAAGACAGCCUUUAUCUCCCCGUUCGGGUGCUUCUGUUAUGUCACAAUGCCAUUCGGCUUGAAGAACGCUGGAGCCACAUUUAUGCGAAUGAUUCAGAAGUGCCUUCUCACUCAGAUCAGCCGGAAUGUGGAGGCAUACAUGGAUGACAUUAUGGUCAAGUCACGUAAAGGUUCCGACCUGAUGACCGACCUUGCUGAAACCUUUGCCAACCUCAGAAGGUAUGAUAUCAAGCUCAAUCCAUCAAACUGCACGUUUGGAGUUCCAGGCGGAAAGUUGCUCGGUUUUCUUGUUUCCGAACGAGGAAUCGAUGCUAACCCAGAGAAAGUAGGCGCUAUACUCUGAAUGAAACGCCCUGUGCAUGUGCAUGAUGUCCAGAAGCUUACUGGUUGCUUGGCCGUCCUAAGUCGAUUCAUUUCUCGCCUCGGUGAAAAGGCGCUACCUCUUUACCGACUGAUGAAGAAAUCAGAUAAGUUCGAGUGGACUCCAGAAGCUGAUACAACAUUUGCAGAGCUAAAAGCCCUGCUUUCCACCCAGCCGGUGCUUGCUGCUCCAAUCAGCAAAGAGCCUCUUUUGCUUUAUAUAGCAGCCACUUGACAAGUCGUUAGUACAGUACUUACGGUCGAGCAGGAAGAAGAAGGAAAAGCGUACAAAGUUCAACGCCCAGUUUAUUAUAUUUCCGAAGUCCUGACCCCGUCAAAGCAGAGAUAUCCUCACUACCAGAAGCUUGUCUAUGGAAUUUACAUGACCACGAAGAAGGUUGCACACUACUUCUUAGAUCACUCUGUUACAGUCGUCAGCGACGCUCCAUUGUCAGAGAUUCUGCACAACAGGGAUGCAACUGGUCAAGUGGCAAAAUGGGCGAUUGAACUCCUUCCCUUGGAUAUCAAGUUUGAGGCAAAGAAAGCUAUCAAGUCCCAAGCAAUAGCAGAUUUCCUCGCCGAGUGGAUCGAACAGCAACUGCCGACUCAAGUUCACUCGGAACACUGGACCAUGUUCUUUGACGGAUCCAAGAUGUUGAACAGUUCUAGUGCUGGAGUAGUUUUGGUAUCCCCCCGAGGAGACAAGCUCAGGUAUGUCCUCCAGAUUCACUUUGAUUCCUUCAACAAUGAAGCAGAGUAUGAAGCACUCAUGUAUGGGUUGCGCGUGGCCAUCUCACUCGGCGUUCGUCGCCUCAUGGUCUAUGGUGACUCAGAUUUGGUAGUUAAUCAAGUGAUGAAGGAGUGGAACGUCAGAAGCCCAGCCAUGACUGGUUACUGCAACGUGGUGAGAAAGCUUGAGAAGAAGUUCGAGGGGUUAGAACUCCACCACAUCCCCCAAUUGAAAAAUCAAGCAGCCGAUGAAUUGGCAAAGAUAGGUUCCAAGAGAGAAGCCAUUCCCAGCAAUGUGUUCUUGGAGCAUAUUCACACGCCGACAGUUCAGGAAGACCAUUUCACUGAAGAGCCCCCACAACCCAAGAGCGCCACGGAUCCGACUGAAGUCGAGGUCCCAGCUGUGGUCAACCUAAUCAUGGAGGUUCUGGCCAUUACUCCCAACUGGACGGUGCCCUACAUUGCGUACAUCCUCAGGAAAGAGCUCCCAGAGGAUGAAGAAGAAGCUCGACAGAUCGUCCGACGAUCUAAAGCUUUUACUGUGAUAAGAGGGCAGCUGUUCAGAGAAAGUGUGUCUGGAGUCGGUCAGAAGUGCAUAACACCAGAAGAAGGUCAAAUGAUCCUCAAUGACAUCCACUCGGGGAUCUGUGGUCACCAUGCGUCCUCUCAGGCCAUCGUGGCUAAAGCAUACCGAGCUGGAUUCUAUUGGCCACGAGCAAAUGAGAUGGCGAAAGAUAUAGUCGACAGAUGUGAAGGCUGUCAAUUUUACUCCGAUAUGUCUCACAAGCCAGCGUCAGCCCUGAAGACCAUUCCCCUCGUCUGGCCCUUCACUGUUUGGGGACUAGAUAUGGUUGGACCGCUGAGGACCGGCAAAAGCGGCUUCACUCACGUGCUCGUUGCAGUCGACAAGUUUACCAAAUGGAUCGAAGCCAAACCUAUCAAGAACCUUGACGCUAGCACCGCUGUCAGUUUUAUCAGAGAAUUGACAUUCAGAUGUGGAGUCCUGCACAACAUCAUAACGGACAACGGGUCGAACUUCGAUUCCUAUGAGUUCAGAAUUUUCUGCGCCUCUCAAGGCACUCGAGUCGACUAUGCUUCUCUUGCUCACCUGCAGUCGAACGGACAAGCAGAAAGAGCCAAUGGCCUAAUUCUCAAAGGACUGAAGCCCCGACAGAUGCGUGAUCUCAUACACGCAGCAGGUGCUUGGGUUGAUGAACUUCCGUCAGUUCUGUGGGGUUUAAGGACAACUCCUCAUCGGUCGACUGGAAGAACUCCUUUCUUCUUAGUCUAUGGAGCCGAAGCUGUUCUGCCAAGUGACUUGCUCCACAACGCACCCCGAGUUGAACUCUUCUCCGAAGCAGAAGUAGAGCAGGCCCGACAAGAUUCAGUCGAUCUCUUAGAGGAGGAAAGAGAGAUAGCCUUGAUCCGCUCGACCAUUUAUCAACAAGAUUUGCGUCGAUUCCACGCCAGGAAUGUGAGGGGUCGGGCCUUUCAAGAAGGAGACUUGGUUCUUCGAGUGGAUCAGCAGAAACCACACAAGCUCGCUCCAACUUGGGAAGGCCCCUUCAUCGUCACCAAAGUUCUCCACAACGGAGCAUACCAUCUUUACAGUAUCGAGCAUCGGAAAGACGAGCCACAGGCUUGGAACGCGGAGCUGCUCCGCCCCUUUUAUACUUAAACACUCGUUUGAAUAAAAUGUAAUAAGCAACACCUUUUGUAAUUCGUUUAUCAAAGACAAGAGCUUAUGGUUCUCUCAUUCGAUUGUGUUGAUCUUAUUUACUCCUGAAAUCCCCCAGUGGGUGGGCUUAGUCGUGAAUCCGUUCCACCUAAGUUCGAAAAAAUCCUACCGAGUGGAGAGCAAUCCUCCCACUCGAGGGCUUAGCUGCAGUCGAGCACUCGCCUAAGUUCUCUCACUAAGAGGCUUAACGGCAGUCCAGCACUCGCCUAAGUUUGAGAAAAAAUCCUACCGAGUGGAGAGCAAUCCUCCCACUCGGGGGCUUAGCUGCAGUCGAGCACUCACCUAAGUUCUCUCAAUAAGAGGCUUAACGGCAGUCCAGCACUCGCCUAAGUUUGAAAAAAUCCUACUGAGUGGAGAGCAAUCCUCCCACUCGGGGGCUUAGCUGCAGUCGAGCACUCGCCUAAGUUCUCUCACUAAGAGACUUAACGGCAGUCCNNNNNNNNNNNNNNNNNNNNNNNNNNNNNNNNNNNNNNNNNNNNNNNNNNNNNNNNNNNNNNNNNNNNNNNNNNNNNNNNNNNNNNNNNNNNNNNNNNNNNNNNNNNNNNNNNNNNNNNNNNNNNNNNNNNNNNNNNNNNNNNNNNNNNNNNNNNNNNNNNNNNNNNNNNNNNNNNNNNNNNNNNNNNNNNNNNNNNNNNNNNNNNNNNNNNNNNNNNNNNNNNNNNNNNNNNNNNNNNNNNNNNNNNNNNNNNNNNNNNNNNNNNNNNNNNNNNNNNNNNNNNNNNNNNNNNNNNNNNNNNNNNNNNNNNNNNNNNNNNNNNNNNNNNNNNNNNNNNNNNNNNNNNNNNNNNNNNNNNNNNNNNNNNNNNNNNNNNNNNNNNNNNNNNNNNNNNNNNNNNNNNNNNNNNNNNNNNNNNNNNNNNNNNNNNNNNNNNNNNNNNNNNNNNNNNNNNNNNNNNNNNNNNNNNNNNNNNNNNNNNNNNNNNNNNNNNNNNNNNNNNNNNNNNNNNNNNNNNNNNNNNNNNNNNNNNNNNNNNNNNNNNNNNNNNNNNNNNNNNNNNNNNNNNNNNNNNNNNNNNNNNNNNNNNNNNNNNNNNNNNNNNNNNNNNNNNNNNNNNNNNNNNNNNNNNNNNNNNNNNNNNNNNNNNNNNNNNNNNNNNNNNNNNNNNNNNNNNNNNNNNNNNNNNNNNNNNNNNNNNNNNNNNNNNNNNNNNNNNNNNNNNNNNNNNNNNNNNNNNNNNNNNNNNNNNNNNNNNNNNNNNNNNNNNNNNNNNNNNNNNNNNNNNNNNNNNNNNNNNNNNNNNNNNNNNNNNNNNNNNNNNNNNNNNNNNNNNNNNNNNNNNNNNNNNNNNNNNNNNNNNNNNNNNNNNNNNNNNNNNNNNNNNNNNNNNCCUAAGUUUUCUCACUAAGGGGCUUAACAGCAGUCCAACACUCGCCUAAGUUUGAAAAAACCCUACCGAGUGGAGAGCAGUCCUCCCACUCGGGGGCUUAGCUGCAGUCGAGCACUCGCUUAAGUUCUCUCACUAAGGGGCUUAGCGGCAGUCCAGCACUCACCUAAGUUUGAAAAAAACCCUACCGAGUGGAGAGCAGUCCUCCCACUCGGAGGCUUAGCUACAGUCGAGCACUCGCCUAAGUUCUCUCACUAAGAGGCUUAACGGCAGUACAACACUCGCCUAAGUUUGGAAAAAUCCUACCGAGUGGAGAGCAAUCCUCCCACUCGGGGGCUUAGCUGCAGUCCAGUACUCACCUAAGUUUAAGACCCAUUCCUAUCCGCAAGGACGACGAGGUGCAGGUCGACUGCAACCUUCUCCUUCGGAGCUGCGGCACAAAUACAACGUCUGCUCCAUCGCCAUCUGCAAGGACGACGAGGUGCAGGACGACUGCAACCUUCUCCUUCGGAGCUGCGGCACAAAUACAACGUCCGCUCCAUCCUUAUCCGCAAGGACGACGAGGUGCAGGUCGACUGCCACCUUCUCCUUCGGAGCUGCGGCACAAAUACAAUGUCCGCUCCAUCCCUAUCCGCAAGGACGAAGAGGUGCAGCAAGCAAAGUCCAUCCGAAGGUAAACACAAGCACAUUCGGAGAUAAACCAAAUUCAGAUAAAUACUAAAAGGUUCCAAGCAGCGAAUCAAAGGUACUCGGGCACCAAGACCGAAGGAGUUUAACGGUUACAGAAACCACUCGGCAUUCCGAGGCAAAUUUAAAACAUAUCCAAGUUUCACAAGAUUGUUCACUCGGCCGGAGGAGGGCUGGCAGGCUCCACGAACGAGUCCAGAUUGAUCCCAUCAGCGAUCCGAGUAGCGGCAACAAUGAAAGUCUGCAUGAAGGACUGGAAGUUGUGCUUUUUGGUGUUAGCGACUUUGAUCGCAGCUAGCUUGUCUUCACGAGCCUCCUUGCAAUGGACUCGGACCAGGGACAGCGCCACAUCAGCACCACACCGGGCGGAGGAUUUCUUCCAUUCUAGCACUCGGUCAGGGAUCUCGUCCAGUCGAGUCAUCAGAGAUUCCAGAUCGUUCUGAAGCGUCACCCCCGGCCAAAGCGUCGAGUCGAUUCGAGAGACAACCUCCUUCAGGCGUGCGAGGUAGCUUGUGGCGCUGGCGAUACGGGACUCCAGUCGGAGCAUGUUCAUCGCAGUUUCGUCGUAGACCGGGGAAGCGAUAGGGUCCAGACCCGUCUCGACCCUUCCAGUUUCUUCAUCAAAGUCUUGAAAAAGUUCUGCAGCCAAAAGUCAGUUCAAUCAACCGAGCAAAAUCCGAUGGCAAGCAUCAACACAGUCAGAUUAAAAGAAAUACCUCCCAACACGAGAUAAAGCUUCUUGGCGAGGGUCCUCAGAUAAGCUUAUGUGUCGUUCCUCUUGCGGAUCGCAGACUCCAACUUUUUGUUCAGGACGACCUUAUCCUUCUUCAGGCUGGUCACUUCACGGUUAGCUUCAUUAAGACAAGAUGUCAGUCUAGUCACUUCUCCUUCAAGCAUUCUGACUGAAGCAAGCUUCUUGUCUACGAGAACAGUUUUGUCUUGGGCUGCUUUUUGCGCGGUGGUGAGGUCCGAGUCCUUGUCCAGUGCCAACUUCAUUUUCUCUGCAAAAGAAAUAAUCGAAUCAAAAAAGAGAUCAAAGAGAUAUAUUGAAGUUCAGUCGGCAAUCAGUUACCUUCCAUACCAGCGGCUUCGUCUUGAGCUUUUUUCAGAUUUUGCUGAGCCAAUUCCAAGUUUAAGUUGAGUUGCCUCUGCUUCUCUUCGAGUUCGGCAAACUUGGAGAUAAGAGUACACGACUUCUACAGGAAGCAAGAGACAUAUCAAUCGAUAGGUUCGAAGGCAGUUCAUUUUCGAAUGAAUAAAACCUAAAGAAGUGGACAACAAGCUGUUCAGACCCCAGUCGACUGCCAGCAGUCGAUCGCGGUCUUGGGGACUACACCUGUUGGAAAUAUGCCCUAGAGGCAAUAAUAAAAGUAUUAUUAUAUUUCAAUGUUCAUGAUAAAUGUCUUUUAUUCAUGCUAUAACUGUAUUAUCCGGAAAUCGUAAUACACGUGUGAAUACUUAGACCACAAUAUGUCCCUGGUGAGCCUCUAGUUGACUAGCUCGUUGUGAUCAACAGAUAGUCAUGGUUUCCUGACUAUGGACAUUGGAUGUCGUUGAUAACGGGAUCACAUCAUUAGGAGAAUGAUGUGAUGGACAAGACCCAAUCCUAAGCAUAGCAUAAAAGAUCGUGUAGUUCGUUUUGCUAGAGCUUUGCCAAUGUCAAGUAUCUCUUCCUUCGACCAUGAGAUCGUGUAACUCCCGGAUGCCGUAAGAGUGCCUUGGGUGUAUCAAACGUCACAACGUAACUGGGUGACUAUAAAGGUGCAUUACAGGUAUCUCCGAAAGUAUCUGUUGGGUUGACACGGAUUGAGACUGGGAUUUGUCACUCCGUAUGACGGAGAGGUAUCUCUGGGCCCACUCGGUAAUGCAUCAUCAUAAUGAGCUCAAUGUGACCAAGGUGUUGGACACGGGAUCAUGCAUUACAGUACGAGUAAAGUGACUUGCCGGUAACGAGACUGAACAAGGUAUUGGGAUACCGACGAUCGAGUCUCGGGCAAGUAACGUACCGAUUGACAAAGGGAAUUGUAUACAGGGUUUGAUCGAAUCCUCGACAUCGUGGUUCAUCCGAUGACAACAUCGAGGAGCAUGUGGGAGCCAUCAUGGGUAUCCAGAUCCCGCUGUUGGUUAUUGACCUGAGAGCGUCUCGGUCAUGUCUGCAUGUCUCCCGAACCCGUAGGGUCUACACACUUAAGGUUCGGUGACGCUAGGGUUAUUAGGAAGACUAGUAUGUGACUACCGAAUGUUGUUCGGAGUCCCGGAUGGGAUCCUGGACAUCACGAGGAGCUCCGGAAGGGUCCGGAGGUAAAGAUUUAUAUAUGGGAAGUUGUCAAACGGACACCGAGAAGUUUCGGGGUCAUACCGGUAUUGUACCGGGGCCACAGGAAGGGUACCGGGGGUCCACCGGGAGGGGCCACCCCUCCUGGGGGGCCACAUGGGCUGCGUGGGGCAGGGAGCCAGUCCCUGGUGGGCUGGGCGCACCCCCUCCCUUGGGCCCUUGCGCCUAGGGUUGAGGGGGGAACCCUAGAGGGGGCGCCCCCCUUGGCUUGGGGGGCAAGCCACCCUCUCCCCCUCUCCCCUUGGCCGCCGCACCCCCCUAGAUGGGUUCUAGGGGGCCGGCCCCCCUUCUCCCUUCCCCCUAUAAAUAGAGGGGUGAGGGGAGGGCAGCCGGACCACCCUCCAAGGCGCAGCCCUCCCCUCCCGAACACCUCUCCUCCUCCGUGUGCUUGGCGAAGCCCUGUCGGAGUACUGCUUCUCCACCAUCACCACGCCGUCGUGCUGCCGGUGGAGCUGUCUUCCUCAACCUCUCCUUCCCCUUGCUGGAUCAAGAAGGAGGAGACGUCUCCCGUCCCGUACGUGUGUUGAACGCGGAGGUGCUGUCCGUUCAGCGCUUGGUCAUCGGUGAUUCGAAUCACGUCGAGUACGACUACAUCAUCACCUUGCAAGCUUCCGCACGCGAUCUACAAGUGGUAUGUAGAUGCAAACUCUCUCCCUUGACUCAUUGCUUAGAUGAACUCAUAGAUGGAUCUUGGUGAAACCGUAGGAAAAAUUUUAAUUUUCUGCAACGUUCCCCAACAGUGGCAUCAUGAGCUAGGUCUAUGCGUAGUUCUCUAAUGCACGAGUAGAACACAAUUUGUUGUGGGCGUGGAUCUUGUCAACUUACUUGCCUCUACUAGUCUUUUCUUGCUCAACGGUAUUGUGGGAUGAAGCGGCCCGGACCAACCUUACACGUACGCUUACGUGAGACCGGUUCCACCGACUGACAUGCACUAGUUGCAUAAGGUGGCUGGCGGGUGUCUGUCUCUCCCACUUUAGUUGGAGAGGAUUCGAUGAAAAGGGCCCUUAUGAAGGGUAAAUAGAAGUUGACAAAAUCACGUUGUGGUUAUUCGUAGGUAAGAAAACGUUCUUGCUAGAACCCAAUUGCAGCCACGUAAAAGAUGCAACAACAAUUAGAGGACGUCUAACUUGUUUUUGCAGCGAUUGAUCAUGUGAUGUGAUAUGGCCAGAAGUUGUGAUGAAUGAUGAAUUGUGAUGUAUGAGAUCAUGUUCUUUGUAAUAGGAUUCACGACUUGCAUGUCGAUGAGUAUGACAACCGGCAGGAGCCAUAGGAGUUGUCUUUAUUUUUUGUAUGACCUGCGUGUCAUUGAAUAACACCAUGUAAACUACUUUACUUUAUUGCUAAACGUUAGUCAUAGAAGUAGAAGUAGUCGUUGGCGUGACAACUUCAUGAAGACACGAUGAUGGAGAUCAUGAUGAUGGAGAUCAUGGUGUCAAGCCGGUGACAAGAUGAUCAUGGAGCCCCGAAGAUGAAGAUCAAUGGAGCUUGAUGAUAUUGGCCAUAUCAUGUCACAACUAUAUAAUUGCAUGUGAUGUUUAUUAUGUUUAUGCAUCUUGUUUACUUAGGACGACGGUAGUAAAUAAGAUGAUCCCUUACAAAAAAAUUUCAAGAAGUGUUCUCCCCUAACUAUGCACCGUUUCUACAGUUCGUCGCUUCUAAGCACCACGUGAUGAUCGGGUGUGAUGGAUUCUUACGUUCACAUACAACGGGUGUAAGACAGUUUUACACAGCGAAAACACUUAGGGUUAACUUGACGAGCCUAGCAUGUGCAGACAUGGCCUCGGAACACGGAGACCGAAAGGUCGAACACGAGUCGUAUGGAAGAUACGAUCAACAUGAAGAUGUUCACCGACGAUAACUAGUCCGUCUCACGUGAUGAUCGGACACGGGCUAGUCGACUCGGAUCGUGUAACACUUAGAUGACUAGAGGGAUGUCUAAUCUAAGUGGGAGUUCAUAAUUUGAUUAGAACUUUAUUAUCAUGAACUUAGUCUAAAACCUUUGCAAAUAUGUCUUGUAGAUCAAUGGCCAACGCUAAUGUCAACAUGAACUUCAACGUGUUCCUAGAGAAAACCAAGCUGAAAGAUGAUGGCAGCAACUAUACGGACUGGGUCCGGAACCUGAGGAUCAUCCUCAUAGCUGCCAGGAAACAAUAUGUCCUAGAAGGACCGCUAGGUGACGCUCCCAUCCCAGAGAACCAAGACAUUAUGAAUGCUUGGCAGUCUCGUGCUGAUGAUUACUCCCUCGUUCAAUGCGGCAUGCUUUACAGCUUAGAACCGGGGCUCCAAAAGCGUUUUGAGCACCACGGAGCAUAUGAGAUGUUCGAAGAGCUGAAACUAGUUUUCCAAGCUCAUGCCCGGGUCGAGAGAUAUGAUGUCUCUGACAAGUUCUACAGUUGUAAGAUGGAGGAAAACAGUUCUGUCAGUGAGCACAUCCUGAAGAUGUCUGGGUUGCACAACCGUAUGACCCAGCUGAAUAUAAACCUCCCAGAUGAGGCGGUCAUUGACAGAAUCCUCCAGUCGCUCCCACCAAGCUACAAGAGCUUUGUGAUGAACUACAACAUGCAGGGGAUGGAAAAGACCAUUCCUGAAGUGUUCUCGAUGCUGAAGUCAGCAGAGGCUGAAAUCAAGAAAGAACAUCAAGUGUUGAUGGUCAAUAAGACCACUAAGUUCAAAAAGGGCAAGGGUAAGAAGAACUUCAAGAAGGACGGCAAGGAGGUUGCCGCGCCUGGUAAGCCAGUUACCGGGAAGAAGUCAAAGAAUGGACCCAAGCCUGAGACUGAGUGCUUUUAUUGCAAGGGGAAGGGUCACUGGAAGCGGAACUGCCCCAAAUACUUAGCGGAUAAGAAGGCCGGCAACACCAAAGGUAUAUUUGAUAUACAUGUGAUUGAUGUGUACCUUACCAGUACUCGUAGUAACUCCUGGGUAUUUGAUACCGGUGCCAUUGCUCAUAUUUGUAACUCACAGCAGGAGCUGCGGAAUAAGCGGAGACUGGCGAAGGACGAGGUGACGAUGCGCGUCGGGAAUGGUUCCAGAGUCGAUGUGAUCACCGUCGGCACGCUGCCUCUACAUUUACCUACGGGAUUAGUUUUGAACCUUAAUAAUUGUUAUUUAGUGCCAAGUUUGAGCAUGAACAUUGUAUCUGGAUCUCGUUUAAUACGAGAUGGCUACUCAUUUAAGUCUGAGAAUAAUGGUUGUUCGAUUUAUAUGAGAGAUAUGUUUUAUGGUCAUGCUCCGAUGGUCAAUGGUUUAUUCUUAAUGAAUCUCGAGCGUAAUAUUACACAUGUUCAUAGUGUAUAUGCCAAAAGAUGUAAAGGUUAUAACGAUAGUCCCACAUACUUGUGGCACUGCCGCCUUGGUCACAUUGGUGUCAAGCGCAUGAAGAAACUCCAUGCUGAUGGACUUUUGGAGUCUCUUGAUUAUGAAUCAUUUGACACAUGCGAACCAUGCCUCUUGGGCAAAAUGACCAAGACUCCGUUCUCCGGAACAAUGGAGCGAGCAACCAACUUGUUGGAAAUCAUACAUACCGAUGUGUGCGGUCCAAUGAGCGUUGAGGCUCGCGGAGGAUAUCGUUAUGUUCUCACUCUCACUGAUGACUUGAGUAGAUAUGGGUAUAUCUACUUAAUGAAACACAAGUCUGAGACCUUUGAAAAGUUCAAGGAAUUUCAGAAUGAGGUAGAGAAUCAACGUGACCGAAAGAUAAAAUUCUUACGAUCAGAUCGUGGAGGAGAAUACUUAAGUCACGAAUUUGGUACACACUUAAGGAAAUGUGGAAUCGUUUCACAACUCACGCCGCCUAGAACACCUCAGCGAAACGGUGUGUCCGAACGUCGUAAUCGCACUCUAUUGGAUAUGGUGCGGUCUAUGAUGUCCCUUACCGAUCUACCGCUAUCAUUUUGGGGAUACACUCUGGAGACAGCUACAUUCACUUUAAAUAGGGCACCGUCUAAAUCCGUUGAGACGACACCGUAUGAAUUAUGGUUUGGAAAGAAACCUAAGCUGUCGUUUCUAAAAGUUUGGGGAUGCGAUGCUUAUGUCAAGAAACUUCAACCCUGUCCUGGAAAUCAUGUUGUUAGACAACAAUGAACCUUCGAACUAUGAAGAAGCGAUGGCGGGCCCGGAUUCCAACAAAUGGCUUGAAGCCAUGAAAUCCGAGAUAGAAUCCAUGUAUGAAAACAAAGUAUGGACUUUGACAGACUUGCCCGAUGAUCGGCGAGCGAUAGAAAACAAAUGGAUCUUUAAGAAGAAGACAGACGCGGAUGGUAAUGUCACCAUCUAUAAAGCUCGACUUGUCGCUAAGGGUUAUCGACAAGUUCAAGGGAUUGACUACGACGAGACAUUCUCUCCCGUAGCGAAGCUAAAGUCCGUCCGAAUCAUGUUAGCAAUUGUCGCAUACUAUGAUUAUGAGAUAUGGCAGAUGGACGUCAAAACAGCAUUCCUUAACGGGCAUCUUAAGGAAGAACUGUAUAUGAUGCAGCCGGAAGGUUUUGUCGAUCCUAAGAACGCUAACAAAGUAUGCAAGCUCCAGCGAUCCAUUUAUGGACUGGUGCAAGCAUCUCGGAGUUGGAACAUUCGCUUUAAUGAGAUGAUCAAAGCGUUUGGGUUUAUGCAGACUUAUGGAGAAGCCUGCGUUUACAAGAAAGUGAGUGGGAGCUCUGUAGCAUUUCUCAUAUUAUAUGUAGAUGACAUACUCUUGAUGGGAAAUGAUACGAAACCCCUAGACAGCAUUAAGGCCUACUUGAACAAGUGUUUUUCAACGAAGGACCUUGAAGAAGCUGCUUAUAUAUUAGGCAUCAAGAUCUAUAGAGAUAGAUCGAGACGCCUCAUAGGUCUUUCACAAAGCACAUACCUUGAUAAGAUUUUGAAGAAGUUCAAAAUGGAUCAGUCCAAGAAGGGGUUCUUGCCUAUGUUACAAGGUGUGAGACUGAGCUCGGCUCAGUCACCGACCACGGCAAAAGAUAAAGAAGAGAUGAGUGUCAUCCCCUAUGCUUCAGCCAUAUGAUCUAUUAUGUAUGCCAUGCUGUGUACCAGACCCGAUGUAAACCUUGCCGUAAGUUUGGUAGCAAGAUACCAAAGUAAUCCCGGCAAGGAACACUGGACAGCGGUCAAGAAUAUCCUGAAGUACCUGAAAAGGACGAAGGACAUGUUUCUCGUUUAUGGAGGAGACGAAGAGCUCGUCGUAAAGGGUUACGUCGACGCUAGCUUCGACUCAGAUCUGGAUGACUCUAAGUCACAAACCGGAUACGUGUAUAUGUUGAAUGGUGGAGCAGUAAGCUGGUGCAGCUGCAAGCAGAGCGUCGUGGCGGGAUCUACGUGUGAAGCGGAGUACAUGGNNNNNNNNNNUCAAGCGUCGUUUCAACUCCAUCCGUGAAAAUGUUCAAGAUGGAGACAUAGAGAUUUGCAAAGUACACACGGAUCUGAAUGUCGCAGAUCCGCUGACUAAACCUCUCUCGCGUGCAAAACAUGAUCAACACCAGAACUCUAUGGGUGUUAGAUUCAUCACAAUGUAACUAGAUUGGUGACUCUAGUGCAAGUGGGAGACUGUUGGAAAUAUGCCCUAGAGGCAAUAAUAAAAGUAUUAUUAUAUUUCAAUGUUCAUGAUAAAUGUCUUUUAUUCAUGCUAUAACUGUAUUAUCCGGAAAUCGUAAUACACGUGUGAAUACUUAGACCACAAUAUGUCCCUGGUGAGCCUCUAGUUGACUAGCUCGUUGUGAUCAACAGAUAGUCAUGGUUUCCUGACUAUGGACAUUGGAUGUCGUUGAUAACGGGAUCACAUCAUUAGGAGAAUGAUGUGAUGGACAAGACCCAAUCCUAAGCAUAGCAUAAAAGAUCGUGUAGUUCGUUUUGCUAGAGCUUUGCCAAUGUCAAGUAUCUCUUCCUUCGACCAUGAGAUCGUGUAACUCCCGGAUGCCAUAAGAGUGCCUUGGGUGUAUCAAACGUCACAACGUAACUGGGUGACUAUAAAGGUGCAUUACAGGUAUCUCCGAAAGUAUCUGUUAGGUUGACAUGGAUCGAGACUGGGAUUUGUCACUCCGUAUGACGGAGAGGUAUCUCUGGGCCCACUCGGUAAUGCAUCAUCAUAAUGAGCUCAAUGUGACCAAGGUGUUGGACACGGGAUCAUGCAUUACGGUACGAGUAAAGUGACUUGCCGGUAACGAGACUGAACAAGGUAUUGGGAUACCGACGAUCGAGUCUCGGGCAAGUAACGUACCGAUUGACAAAGGGAAUUGUAUACAGGGUUUGAUCGAAUCCUCGACAUCGUGGUUCAUCCGAUGACAACAUCGAGGAGCAUGUGGGAGCCAUCAUGGGUAUCCAGAUCCCGCUGUUGGUUAUUGACCUGAGAGCGUCUCGGUCAUGUCUGCAUGUCUCCCGAACCCGUAGGGUCUACACACUUAAGGUUCGGUGACGCUAGGGUUAUUAGGAAGACUAGUAUGUGACUACCGAAUGUUGUUCGGAGUCCCGGAUGGGAUCUUGGACGUCACGAGGAGCUCCGGAAGGGUCCGGAGGUAAAGAUUUAUAUAUGGGAAGUUGUCAAACGGACACCGGGAAGUUUCAGGGUCAUACCGGUAUUGUACCGGGGCCACAGGAAGGGUACCGGGGGUCCACCGGGAGGGGCCACCCCUCCCGGGGGGCCACAUGGGCUGUGUGGGGCAGGGAGCCAGCCCCUGGUGGGCUGGGCGCACCCCCUCCCUUGGGCCCUUGCACCUAGGGUUGAGGGGGGAACCCUAGAGGGGGCGCCCCCCUUGGCUUGGGGGGCAAGCCACCCUCUCCCCCUCUCCCCUUGGCCGCCGCACCCCCCUAGAUGGGUUCUAGGGGGCCGGCCCCCCUUCUCCCUUCCCCCUAUAAAUAGAGGGGUGAGGGGAGGGCAGCCGGACCACCCUCCAAGGCGCAGCCCUCCCCUCCCCAACACCUCUCCUCCUCCGUGUGCUUGGCGAAGCCCUGUCGGAGUACUGCUUCUCCACCAUCACCACGCCGUCGUGCUGCCGGUGGAGCUGUCUUCCUCAACCUCUCCUUCCCCUUGCUGGAUCAAGAAGGAGGAGACGUCUCCCGUCCCGUACGUGUGUUGAACGCGGAGGUGAUGUCCGUUCAGCGCUUGGUCAUCGGUGAUUCGAAUCACGUCGAGUACGACUACAUCAUCACCUUGCAAGCUUCCGCACGCGAUCUACAGGUGGUAUGUAGAUGCAAACUCUCUCCCUUGACUCGUUGCUUAGAUGAACUCAUAGAUGGAUCUUGGUGAAACCGUAGGAAAAAUUUUAAUUUUCUGCAACAUUCCCCAACAACACCCAGUGGGUGCACUUGGCGUGCCCCCAUUGGUUCUGAUCCCACUCGACCGGCCCGCCGGAGUCGAGUGCAAAGAGUAAAAAAAGAGAGAGAAAGAACAAUUGCACCGUCAAGAAAGAAGAACUCAGACCACAGUCGACUGCCAGCAGUUGACCGCGGUCUCGGGGACUACACCCAGUGGGUGCACUUGGCGUGCCCCCACCGGUUCUGAUCCCACUCGCCCAGACCGAGUGGAAGAGCGAAACUACCAAAAAAUGACAACAACACCCAGUGGGUGCUCUAAUUCAACGCGAACAAUAGGAGAUUGUGCGGAAGAAGAUUUUUCGAGAACAAAAACAGUCGGAAAGUCUACUCACCUGGACGUUGGCCCGAAGGGCGUCACUAGGGUCAUAGGCAGCCUGACUGCUCUCGUGCACUAUCUUCACCCGCUCCAUCAUCAUAUCAGCCUGUCGGAUGGCUUCUGCGGCCGCUUCCGACUGGUUGUCUGGGACGGGGUAGCUGGUGAAAAAAUGUGCAGACGACCCAGGUGCGGCUGCUUGAGGCUCUGUGGUGUGGAGUUGGAUAGUUGAAGGAACCACAGGCGCGGUCGACCGCGUGGGAUGCCCACUCGGCAAGGGUGCAGCGAACGUCACAGUGGCCCUGCCCGCAUCUUCAGCUUGACAGACGGGAGGCGUUGCACGUGGGUCUUGCUGAGCCACCCUGCCAGCUGUUACCUUCUUGCUCUUCCUAGGCUUAGGAGCCACAUCUUCGUCGUCGUCCGGAAGGUCAAUGAUGUUGGGUGGAGCUGCAAGACAGAACAUUCAACCCCAAGUGAACCACUCGACCCUAAAAGGAUCAAGAAUCGAAAUCACAAGAGUUCAUACCUGGGUUAGAGGUUACCGCAUUCUCCAUUUCCUCGUCCCGGUACUGGUAUGAAGAGGUCCCUGACGUAGCAGCACUGCAAAGGCCCGCAUUCAAUCGGUUACACCCAGUUAAUCGAAUCCACAUAAAGGACAAGUCAGAUGGUUACCCAGAAAUAGUAGGAACGGUCAUUUUGAUCCGAGGCAAAGCUUUGGGCGGUUUGGAAGAGAUGGCUUUCGGCACUUUCGGCGCUGGAAGCGGCGCGACCUUGGAGUGCUUUGGAGGCUUCUUAGUCGGCGUCGGGGAAGACGUCCUGGGGCGCUUCGAGGAUUGCCCGAUCGGCGCAGCCACCAAGUCCGGAGCGCGUGCCGGGUCAUGAGUGUGCUUGGACCUCCUCUCCUUGCGAGGAGGUGAGUCGACUUCUUCCUCAUCGGUCGACUCAUCGCUCUCCUCGUCCUCCUCGGCUUCUGAAUGCUCCUCACCGCUCUCGCCCCCACUUCCUUCUUCUUCAGCGCCGGGGUCCUGCACUCUGUUGGGCAUCGAGUACAUUUCAAUGAGGGCCUGAAAGGAUAACAAUCAAAAGACAUUCAGUCGACCACAAACGAGACAUCACGUUGUGAAUCGGAAAGAUACUUGAUAAAACAGAAAUAUACCUGCUCCGGCUGGCGCGAGUUAUCGAAUGGAAUCACCCUCCUGGAUCCCCGAGGGUUGUCUUUGUUGCCAGUGAUUCCCCUCAACCAGUUCUCCAAGAUAUCCUCGCUAAGCUCCUCCGGGUGGAUCCGAGUGGUAUCCUCGAGCCCAGAGUACAUCCACAUCGGAUGAUCGCGCGCCUGAAGAGGUUGGAUGCGUCGACCGAGAAAGACCUCCAGUAGAUCCAUUCCGAUCACUCCGUCGCGGACAAGCUGGACGACCCGUUCAACCAGCUCCUUGACCUGCACCUUCUCUUCUGGAACUACCUUCAAGGGACCAGGCUUCUCCACUCCAGCCAAGGAAAAAGGAGGAAGUCCAAUCGACUGGCCAGGGGUUGGCUGAUCCUUGCAGUAAAACCAAGUCGACUGCCAGCCCCAGACUGAGUCAGGAAGGAUCAUCGCUAGGAAAGUACUUUUGCUCCUCAUCUGGAUCCCCAGACCACCGCACAUCUGGAUCACCCGCGUCCUCUCAUCACUCGACUUGGCCUUUUUGACCGACUGGGAACGGCAAGUGAAGAUGUGUUUGAAAAGCCCCCAGGGCGGUCGACAGCCCAAGAAGUUUUCGCACAUGGACACGAAAGCGGCCAGAUAGACUAUGGUGUUCGGAGUGAAAUGGUGGAGCUGAGCCCCAAAGAAGUUCAAAAAACCCCGGAAGAAAGGGAGGGGAGGCAGUGAGAAUCCGCGAUCUACGUGGGUUGCUAGGAGGACACACUCACCCUCUCUGGGCUGCGGCUCGGUUUCGUCCCCCGGGAGCCGGGCCGACUUGUGGGGGAUGAAUCCCCCCUCCACCAGGUCAUCGAGGUCAUCCUGUGUGAUUGCCGAGCGGAUCCAGUCGCCCUGGAUCCAUCCCACCGGCAGGCCGGACCUCAACGAGGAUCCGCCCCGGCUGGUCCGCUUGCCCUUCACCUUCGCGGUCGCCUUCUUCGCGUGUUCCAGCGCCGCCGUCUUAUCCUUCCCCAUGGUGGCGGAUCGAGCUCGAGCGGAGGUCCGGCAACGAGGCGGAAGUGAGAGUGGCGGAGAGAUCGGGAGAAAGAGAAGAGAGAAUGGGAGCGUGCGGAGCAGAGGCCUGGUCCGAGACCUUUUAUAAGGCCUUCCACCGAGUGGCUGACUGGUGAACCCAAGCGAUCUAAACAAAUCCCGCAACAGUCGCGCGCGCAGUAUGUGGCGAAAAAGGUGGCGCGGGGAUCGAUGAGAUUUGCCUAAUCCGUCCCGAUAACCUCGGUUCCUCCCGUCUGGCGCUCUUCCCAAAAUUUGAAUCCCGCGAGAUCCGUGAAGAGCAGAACAACCUGUCAGACUGAAGACAAACACCCUCUACAUCAUCAUUCGGAAUUCCACCAUGAAAGUUCACUCGACAACAACCAAGAAUGGACCAAGGUGAUUGAGAAAGGAGUCGAUGUCAUCUCCUCAACUCAUUGUUUCAGGACAAAGGCAUAUUCAUAGCGCAAAGAGUGGGUCGGAAGUGUUCUCAACCCCUUCCUCACUCAAACCCUGAUCCAUUCAGGGGCUAAUGAUGAAGCUAUGUACCUAGGGUAGGGUCAUGGACCUGUCCAGCAUACCCUCCCCAAGGACAUCUUUACAAAGAAUUAGAAGCAGUCAAAGAGAAAUCAUCAUCCACUCGACCGCGGAGAUGCGCUCACUCGACCACCUUGAAGACACUCGACCACCAGAAGAUGAGGAACCCUCCACUCUGCAACGGUUAGGACUUAAACCAUAAAAUUAUGAGCAUUUAUGACAUUUUACUGUAGACGUUACCAGUAACGCCUUUCCUUUAUGAGCAUUGAACCCUGAGUUAUGGAGGGGACCUGGGGUCCUGGCGCACUCUAUAUAAGCCACCCCCUCCUCUGGGAUAAGGGUUCGCACUUUUUUGUAAACUCACACACACAUAUAAUCCAGUCGACCGCCUCAGGGCACCGAGACGUAGGGCUCUUACUUCCUCCGAGAAGGGCCUGAACUCGUAAAACUCGUGUGUACAACUACUCCAUAGCUAGGAUCUUGCCUCCUCAUACCUACCCCCCAUUCUAGUGUCAGUCUUAGAUCCACGACACCUACCGCCAUAACCUCCGGCGGCAAGGUCCUAUAGUGUACUGUCAGGAACCUUGGCUGUAGGUUCCCAUGCCCUACCACCCCAAAAAAUAAAAAAUAGUACCAUUUCACUAAAAUUCGAGGCCCUACCACCAGUUCAUAACACAUGACAUACACCACAAGUUCAUAACAAAAAGCACAACUCAAGUUCUCGAUAUAGUUCACAAGUUCUUGACAUAGUUCUCAAACAGUAGCACAACUCAAGUUUCUAGUGAGUCACAUGGGCCAUUCCCCCUUCUUUGUCCCGUGCCUCACCCCCACUUGUGCAAGGUGAGCCCUUGCAAGCUUUUUUUCCCCUCUUAUCUUCACAAUCCUUUCACAUUUUUUAAACAAUCCUUUCACAUUUUUUAAACAAUCCUUUUAGAUUUUUAAAAUAAAUUUGAAACUUCUUCGAAAUCCCAAAUUACUCAAAGAGAAAAAGAGAAAAAAUGAAAUGAAAAAACAGGGCUCCCCGCACAUGGACGGACCCAAAAGGGCGCGGGAGGAGGGGGGGGGGGGUGCGCGCUGGCUUGUUUGUCAACGCCUAGCGCACCAAAUAGGAGGGGUGUGGCUAUGUGUCGCUUAUAGCGAGGCUAAACAAGCUCUUGCCUGAAGCGGGCAAUAAUGGGCUAGCUCAGCGCGCUAGGGUCCAUAAGCCUUAAGCACUUGUUUAUUUUGCAUUUUAUUUUUGUUCUUUGCUUUUUUUUACUUGUGUUAUAUUUCGAAAAAUCCUAAACAUAUACUCCCUCCGUCCCGAAUUACUUGUCGCAUGAAUGGAUGUCUCUAGAUGUAUUUUAGUUCAAGAUACAUCCAUUUUUAUCCAUUUCCACGAUAAGUAAUUCGGGACAGAGGAAGUAUAUUAUAAAAAUUACUUUGCAUAAAAUUUUAAAUACAUAAUAGUCAUGCAUUUGAAGAAUGUUAAACCUGGAUAGAAAAAUGUUUCUAAUGUAUAAGAAAAGUGUACAAUGUGUAUAAAAAAGUAGAAUUCAAAAUAUAUAUGAAAAAAAAAUUAUUGAACAUGUAUGAUUUUUUCCUUGAUGUAUACAAAAAAAAUGUACAUGGUGUAUGGGAAAAUGUAGACAUAAGAAAAUAAUUAAAAAAUGUUAAUUAUGUAUAAAAAAUGUUGAACGUGUAUAAAAAUAUAUUUCCGUCUAUGUAAAAUAUUUGACAUCAAAACAUAUGUAAAUUUGUUCAUCAUGUAGUUAAAAAAUCUUAAACAUAUAUAAAUUAUAUGUUAAUUAUGUAUACAAAAUAUGUACAAUCUAUAUAGAAAAAGCAGACGUCAAACAUAUAUUUGCAAAAUGUAAAUCACGUGUUUUAAGAAAAGUGAAACAUAUAAAAAAAUAGUGUUUCAGAUGUAUAUGAAAAAUGUACGUGUAUGAGAAAACAGUAGACAUAGAAACAUAUGUUUUAAAUAUAGUUAAUCAUGCAUUUUAAAAAUGUUAAACAUUUAUGAAAAAGGUCUCGAGUGUGUAUACAAAAAUAUACAUUGUGUUUGAAAAAAGUAAACAUUUGCUGAAAGAACCCCAAUGAAAACUGAAAAUGAAACAAGGAAAAUAAAAGAAAAAAGGGAAAAAAAGAGAAACCCUAAGCAAUGAAGAGAACGGAAGAAACUGAUGCAAAAUAUUAGAACCAGGUGAAAAUUGAAAAAGUCUAAUGAGAACAAAAAAAGCAAAUAAAAACAAAAAAGUCAAGGGAAAAAUCAUAGAAAAACAAAAAAUUAAAAGACAAAAAACCAAGAAAGAAAGAAAAGGAAGAAACCAGGGAAAAAUGAAAAACGAAAAAGAACUGGUAUAAACAGAAAGCUAAAGCAAAACACUGCAACGCAGUGAAAAAAGGAGCUACAAUAACGGGGUAGCGAGACGGCGAUUACAGGCUGCAUCUCGCUGUAGGCGAGAUAUAUGCGUGGCAAAAUAAGAGAUUGGGAGGCAGUAGCUUUCCUCGCCUGAAGGCCUCCGAUUCGUGGCCUGCCCCAGUAGCGCUGACAUCACACCUUUUUUUUAAUUUCUUAUUUUCCUUUUAGUUUUGAAAUUGUUCGACGCACAUUUAAAAAAUGUCAACCAUGUAUAAAUUGUGAAUGGUGUAAAUAAAAUUGUUGCUGAUGUAGACGAUUUUUUUUAAAAAUGUAUAUAAAAAAACUAGUAAUCAUAACAUGUAUUUGAAGAAAAAUGUUAACCUAGUAUAAAUUAUUUUUUUAUUAAAAUUUUAGGAAAAAAUUUAUAACUUUCAACAAAAUGUUGAUUCAAAUAUAAAAAAUAUUCUUGUGUUUCAAAAAAUGCAUACAAACUUUAGUAAAAUGUUUGUACAAUGUAAAAACUUGUUUGCAUAAUGUAAACAAUGUUCAUUACCAUUAAAACAUGUCUGUAAAAUUUUGGAAAAUAUUUAUACAAUGCAAAAAAGUGUUUACGUAGUUAAAAAUAGUUUAUUUCCAUCAAAAGAAGUAAAACAUGUAUUUGGAAUUUUUUGCAUGUAUUCAAAACAUGUAUUUUGAAAAAUAUACAUCAGGUAUUUGAAAAAUGACCAACAUGUUAUGCUUCACGUGUGCUCUAGAUAUUUACAUUGUUACUGGUAAAAAAGUAGACAUGCGUUUGAAAACUAAAACUGGUGAAAACCCACAAAGAAAUAGAAACGCGAAAAAAUAGAAAAAAAAUCAAAAAAUAAAUAAAAUAAAAGCAAAUUAUAACAAAGAAAUAAUUAAAAAGCAAAAAAACCCAAUGGGAAAGCAGAUAAAACCAAAGGAAAGGGAAACAAAAUAAAAACCACAGAAAACUGGUGAAAAACCAAAGAAAAACACAACAAAAGAAAAAAAAACCAUAGAAAACAGGACC